CUCCCUCCCCCUCCCUCCGGGCUCCUGAACUCCAGCCCCUCUCUCUCUAUCAGCCGCUCACUCUGUCUCAAUAUGUCUCAAGAUGGCGGCCAAUGUGGGAUCGAUGUUUCAAUAUUGGAAGCGCUUUGAUUUACAGCAGCUGCAGAGAGAGCUCGAUACCACAGCAACAAUAUUGGCGAACCGGCAAGAUGAAAGUGAGCAGUCCAGGAAAAAACUUAUUGAGCAAAGUCGUGAGUUCAAGAAAAACACUCCAGAGGACCUGCGCAAACAGGUAGCUCCAUUACUGAAGAGUUUCCAGGGAGAGAUUGAUGCAUUGGGUAAACGAAGCAAAGAAGCAGAGGCAGCCUUCUUGAAUGUUUAUAAGAGAUUAAUUGAUGUUCCAGAUCCGGUUCCAGCCUUGGAUUUAGGACAGCAGCUUCAGCUGAAGGUUCAACGCAUGCACGAUAUUGAAACAGAAAACCAGAAACUUAGGGAAACUCUGGAGGAAUACAAUAAAGAAUUCGCCGAGGUGAAAAAUCAGGAGGUUACAAUAAAAGCACUUAAGGAGAAAAUCCGAGAAUAUGAACAGACCCUGAAGAACCAAGCGGAGAACAUAGCCCUUGAAAAGGAACAAAAGUUACAAAAUGAUUUUGCGGAGAAGGAGAGAAAAUUGCAGGAGACCCAGAUGUCAACAGCCUCGAAGCUGGAGGAAGCCGAGCACAAAGUUCAAGCUUUGCAAACAGCCUUGGAAAAAACCAGGACAGAACUAUUUGAUCUGAAAACAAAAUACGAUGAAGAAACUACUGCAAAGGCUGAUGAAAUCGAGAUGAUCAUGACAGACCUUGAAAGAGCGAAUCAGAGGGCAGAGGUGGCUCAGAGAGAGGCAGAGACCUUAAGGGAGCAGCUCUCAUCAGCUAACAAAUCUCUCCAACUUGCUACGCAGAUCCAGAAGGCACCUGAUGUGGAGCAGGCCAUCGAGGUGCUGACACGCUCCAGCCUGGAAGUGGAGCUGGCUGCGAAGGAGCGCGAGAUCGCCCAGCUGGUUGAAGAUGUCCAGAGACUCCAGGGCAGCCUCACCAAGCUGAGGGAGAACUCCAGCAGCCAAAUCUCCCAGCUGGAGCAGCAGCUGACAGCCAAGAACAGCACACUCAAACAACUGGAAGAAAAACUGAAAGGACAGGCUGAUUAUGAAGAGGUUAAGAAAGAAUUAAAUAUAUUGAAAUCCAUGGAGUUUGCACCAUCUGAAAGCUCUGGUGCGCAGGAUGCAUCCAAGCCGCUGGAGGUGCUGCUGCUGGAGAAGAACCGCUCGCUGCAGUCGGAGAACGCCACGCUGCGCAUCACCAACAGCGACCUGAGCGGGUCAGCCAGGAGAAAAGGGAAAGACCAGCCUGAGAGUCAGCGUCCUGCAACCUUGCCGGCCUCCCCUCCUUCCCAGUUGCUCCGCAACGCGGGGGAGCAGGCUUCCAAUACUAAUGGUACACACCAGUUCUCACCAACGGGUUUAAGUCAAGACUUUUUCAGCUCAUCCCUGGCGAGCCCCAGCUUACCCCUGGCCUCCACAGGAAAAUUUGCACUAAACUCUCUCCUCCAGCGACAGCUAAUGCAGUCCUUCUACUCCAAGGCAAUGCAGGAAGCAGGAAGCACAAGCAUGAUUUUUCCAACAGGUCCAUACAGCACAAACUCCAUAUCUUCCCAAAGUCCAUUACAACAAAGCCCGGAUGUAAAUGGCAUGGCCCCAUCUCCCAGCCAGUCAGAAAGUGCUGGGAGCAUCUCUGAAGGAGAGGAGAUAGACACGGCCGAAAUUGCACGUCAGGUGAAAGAGCAGUUGAUCAAGCACAAUAUUGGACAGCGGAUAUUUGGACAUUAUGUGUUGGGACUGUCGCAAGGGUCUGUGAGUGAGAUCCUGGCCCGGCCAAAGCCAUGGAAUAAACUGACUGUGAGAGGCAAGGAGCCAUUUCAUAAGAUGAAGCAGUUCCUGUCGGACGAGCAGAACAUCCUGGCUCUUCGCAGCAUCCAGGGCAGACAAAGAGAGAAUCCAGGCCAGAACCUGAACAGACUAUUUCAGGAAGUACCGAAACGAAGAAAUGGGUCUGAAGGUAACAUAACCACACGAAUCCGAACCACAGAGUCUGGCUCUGAUGAAGCCAUCAAAUCCAUUCUCGAACAAGCCAAAAGGGAGCUGCAAGUACAGAAAACAGCUGAGCCGGCUCAGCCGCCUUCUGCCUCUAGCAGUGGCAAUUCUGAUGAUGCAAUUCGAUCCAUUCUGCAACAAGCCCGACGGGAAAUGGAGGCACAGCAGGCUGCCCUUGAACCUGCCUUAAAAACACCACCUCUAUCUCAAGCUGACAUUUCUAUCCUGUCCCCCAAACUAGUGUCUACACCUGCAAUGUCUUCGGUUUCCAGCUAUUCUCCUUUGGCCAUAUCCCUGAAGAAACAUUCAUCUGUCACUGAUUCCAGUAUCUCUGCAUUGCAGAACCUCUCUGGGCUCAAAAAGGAGCCUCAGGAGGCACCUGUUUUAGAGCUUCAUGGAAUAAGUGAUUCUGCCCAGGGUAUGUUGAGGCAUGUUAAAAAUGAGUUGGGACGUGGUGGUGUUUGGAAGGACCAUUGGUGGAAUACUGUGCAGCAUGAGAGAAGAAAUGCAGCUCUUCCCGAAGAUAUAAAAGUUGAGGAAGCCAGUGGUGGAAAAGAAAAGGUCAGCAAUCAGACUAGGCCAGAUCGUAGCCAGCUCCAAGGACCGUCUUCUUCCGAGUAUUGGAAAGAGUGGCCAAACGCGGAAUCUCCGUACUCGCAGAGUUCUGAAUUGAGCAUGACUGGGGCGAGUCGCAGUGAGACACCACAAAAUAGCCCCCUCCCUUCAUCCCCUAUCGUGUCCUUGUCCAAGCCAUCCAAACCUUCGGUUCCUCCACUGACACCCGAGCAGUAUGAGAUUUAUAUGUACCAGGAGGUGGAUACGAUAGAGCUAACGCGGCAGGUCAAGGAAAAGCUAGCAAAGAAUGGCAUCUGCCAAAGGAUCUUUGGGGAAAAGGUAUUGGGGCUGUCCCAAGGAAGUGUCAGUGACAUGCUCUCCAGGCCAAAGCCAUGGAGCAAAUUGACCCAAAAAGGCCGAGAACCAUUUAUUCGUAUGCAGCUCUGGUUGAAUGGUGAGCUGGGACAGUGUGUCCUGCCCGCACAAGGGCAGCAACAAGGACAAGUCCUUCACUCUGUGACAUCAUUACAGGAUUCCCUACAGCAGGGAUGUGCAAGCUCAGAAAGUACUCCAAAGACUUCUGCGAGUUGCAGUCCUGCUCCUGAAUCUCCCAUGAGUUCCAGUGAAUCAGUGAAAAGCCUGACUGAGUUGGUACAGCAGCCCUGUCCCCCCAUCGAGACGAGUAAGGAUGGCAAAUCCCAGGAAUCCAGUGAGCCACCUGCAUCUGAAUCCCAAUCCACGACCCCUCUGCCACUCUCUGGCCACUCAGCACUCAGCAUCCAAGAACUGGUGGCCAUGUCCCCUGAGCUGGACACCUAUGGCAUCACCAAGAGGGUCAAGGAAGUGCUCACGGACAACAAUCUUGGUCAGCGUUUGUUCGGGGAGACAAUCCUAGGGCUGACACAAGGCUCUGUCUCUGACCUGCUGGCUCGCCCCAAGCCCUGGCACAAGCUGAGUCUGAAGGGAAGGGAACCCUUUGUCCGCAUGCAGCUGUGGCUCAACGAUCCCAACAACGUGGAGAAGCUGAUGGACAUGAAGCGCAUGGAGAAAAAAGCCUACAUGAAACGGCGGCACAGCUCCGUCAGCGACAGCCAGUCCUGUGAGUCCUCGUCCGCUGGCAUCGACUACAGCCAGGGUGCCAGCCCCCAGCCCCAGCACCAGCUCAAGAAGCCCCGGGUGGUGCUGGCACCAGAGGAGAAAGAAGCUCUCAAAAGAGCCUACCAGCAAAAGCCAUACCCAUCACCAAAAACCAUUGAGGAACUCGCCACGCAGCUCAACUUGAAAACCAGCACCGUGAUCAACUGGUUCCACAAUUACAGGUCCCGCAUCCGCCGGGAGCUGUUCAUCGAGGAGAUCCAAGCCGGGAGCCAGAGCCAGGCCGGGUCGAGUGACUCCCCUUCAGCCAGAAGCAGCAGGGCGGCCCACAGCUCCGAGGGGGACAGCUGCGACGGCGUGGACGCGGAGGGCCCUCCCGACGGCAAGCCGAGCGGCCCGGAGGCGGACGAGUUCAGCAAUGCGGCCGCCAAGUCUCAGGGAGGGCCCGCCGAGCCGGCUUUCGAGGCGGGGGAAGAGGCACUGCGAGGCGCCAGGCCUUCGGAGAGAGCGGAGCCUGAGAGCCUGGAGGACACCGACGACGAGGGCCGGCUCAGAGCGCCGCGCCAGAGCUCCCCGCCGGCACCGCAGCGCCCGGGAGACGCUCUGGAGACACUGCCAAACUCUGCCACGGAAGGGGAUGCCUCUACCUCAGCUGCCUCCACCUCAGUCCUUACGGGGGAGAGCUCCUACAAGUCAAAAGAAAGUUCAGAGAAAAUCUCCAGUGUGCCAAGUACAAGCUCAACGCCGGCCUCAGGCUCACAGAAAGCCAACUCUCUGCAGAGCUUGUUCGGCUUCUCGGAGGCGGCGAGCUCCAGGAACACGCGAGACAGCUCCCUGAGGAAAAAGAAAGCGGCCAACUUGAACAACAUCAUCCACCGCUUGGAGAAGGCCGCGAGUCGGGAAGAGGCCGUGGAGUGGGAGUUUUGAGAUUAAACUGGCCCAACUCGGGAGAGCUGGGAAGUCAAACUGGACCUCUACUGGUUUUAUUGUGUUCGCACUUAACCGCCCUGCGGGCCACAGGGCAAAAACGCCAUAGGCCAAGCUGUUUCAGGAUUCCUCCUUGGGUGACUGGGGACUCGUGAUGCCAAACUGAAGCUGAGGAACGGAGAGAGAGCAGCUGCCCCUUUGUGUGAUGAGCUGAGGGCUGAGUGGCAGUGACAGACACCAGGGUGUCCUGGCUUCCCACCGGGAGCGUGGCCAGUCCGUGGGAAUGGGGUGAAGCCAAGGGUGACCUCUCUGUACCUGUCCAGUGUCCUGGUCUGACUUCCAAAGCACAGCUCCAUGGAUAAACACGUCCUGGUAGGAGUUCACAUACCUUAGUACAAGUCACAACGAGCUGCGUCUCCAGCCAAGAGCAAAACUUCUGCCCAGGAGACGCAGAUAUUUUCUUAGGUUCUUUAAUUAUUUUUAUUUUUUUCUUCGUUGUUGUUUGGUUCAGGUUGGGUUUUUUAAUUAAUUCUGGCAAUACACUUGCCAGUCUGUUCCUACUGUCCUUGUCUGCUGAUUUGAGACCCAGGUGCUGGAUGCAGUCAAGUGGUUACUCUCAGCUUUCUCCAUAGUGAGGGGUUUUUUUCUGUUUGAUGAUUCUUUUUAAUUUUUUUAUUUUUUAAGUUAAUAUUCCCCAAACUGUUGUUGUGCCUGUGUCUAUCUGAUUGCAUUCCAUGAUGCUUACUGAGAGCUCUGGCUGCAUUGUACGACAGCAGAACUGUAUUCACAGGUUGCACGCAAAUGCAGCACUUAAGGUCAAUCUCUCUUCUUAAUAAGCAAUACGUAAGUGCCUUGAAACAUAUCUUCUUUUUUUUCCCCUGUUUAUUUUUGGUUUGCUUUUCACUAGUUCCCACUAGUUCUUUAGGAUUCUUUAGCAUCUGCCCAGUUUUUAAUGCUGUAAUGAUUUUUAAAAAGCAUAUCUGUAGCUUGCCCUAGAGGAAAUCUUUCUUUCAUAACACUAACCGUUAAUUCUAAGCUCCAUUAUUCCAUUUGAGUCAUGUAAUUUUGCUGGAUAAAGACAGCGUUCAGAAGUCAGAAGUCACUCCAUCCUGCCAAGCGUUGUCAUUGGGAUCUAUUAUAAAAUUAAUCAAAUAAAAUGCUGUCAGUAUUUCCUAUAUUUUUGGCACUUUAUUAACGGCUUAGCUCCUUUUGCUGUUUCAUAUUUAAUGAUCUGUGUUGAAUGUGGAUUAGCCUGCUGAGAUGCUGUUGGGGUGAUCUCCUGCCCGGAGUCCCUUUGGGUUCCUUGCUCACCCCCUGGUUGGAGGGCAGGGGCCGAGGAGCACCCUCAGACCUGGAGCUCAGAGAUGCUCCCGGGGUUUGUCCUGGGCUUUAGCCGACGUCACAGCUGCUUUUCUGUUCAGUGGAAAGUCAGAUGGAUUAGUUUUUAAUUGAACUACUGCUGAGGUUCUCGGGUUGGACAUGAGUUACCUGCUGGUGUUUCUGGCCAAGGCCCCCCCAGUUUAGAGGCUGAACUUACACUGCAGGGUGUGAGUGAUAGUUGGGAUUAAUUUGGAACUCACCCUUGGGAGGAAAAUGUGCUUUGGAAUAACUUUUUUUUUUUUUUUUUAUUUAAUUCAAAGGAUAAAAAGUUAAAGGAGAAGAAAUGCCAAAGAGCAGCACAGUGGCUGUCAUCCCUUGGGUGCUGAAUGUGUGAAAUGUGUGACAUGGGGCUUAUCUCCCAGGGCAGCAGAGCCCUCCUUGCUGUCGUUUCUUUUCCUGAUGGAUAAAAGCACAGGCAGUUUUCAGGAAAUCCAUCAUGCCAGAGUCUGUUUUUCCUGAGGUUCUUUAAAAGCAUUUUAUUUUCUCUCUCUGUUUCCAGUUCCAUGCUCUUACCAACACUGUGCAUGAAGGGCUGGGGCUGUUUUAAUAGAAAUAUGUUUAUAUUGCAGUUAAAUUGUUGAUUUUUCUCUCUGGAUGAUUAGGGAAGGACAAAAGUGCAGUGCUUUGUUUGCUAAAAGCCAGGAAAGAGUAUCCCGUGGCAGAAGGGUCAUGCAGUGGGAUUGUCAAUACACUUCCAUUUUUCAGGAUACAGAUUUCAGACAACAGCAUUGCAGAUGUUUAUUGGCAGAAAUGCAUUUAAUUACAGGUGCUUUUGAUGCCAUAAAUUAUUUAUUCAUUGGUGAAAUGCCUAUAAAUAUAGCCACCCUUUAAAGGAACCCAUAUCAGUGCACUCUGCCCAUAUCAUGAAUUAGUCCUUUAGUAAUAAACUCCUUGCUGUAGUAGGAAAGAACAAUAUUACAGCUAAAAAGAAAAAAGUAUGUGCCUUUCUCAUUAGCUAAAAGAUCUCUGCAUUAUUUUUAUGUAACUUGUUGAUAUGGGAUUGGUAUAGAGCAAGGGGAUCAUGAACAUCCCAGAAUUCUAUGCAAUAUUUUCCAGUCCAGUUACUUAAAAGUCACUAUUUUUCAAUCCUUUAAUAGGAGAAAUAGUAAGUGCAUCAUUCUGGUGGUAAUUCAAACUGCAAAGCUGAUAAAUUGACAUAAGAUAGGAUUGGGGGAAAUGUGAGAAAUUAAUGUGAUGAAAUAGUGGAAAAUGCCAACAGUGGCUGCAGUCCCUACAAGCACAGCUGCCGUCAGAAGUCUGUCAUCUCCCAUUUUAAAAUUAAUAAUUUCCAGUAUUCUUAAAGCUUUUAUGAAUCAGAAUGCUCCUGGCAAAAACAGGGCAGGUUAGAAACAGGGAAAAAAAAAAAUCACAUUUUGACCAUAUAGAAAUUAUGAGAAUACACAGAAAAAAAAGUAAUUUGGCAUGGACACAUUGCACUUGGAUCCAAAAUGUUUUAUUUCAGUUGAAAUCCUGCAGUAACCUGUGCCUUUAGCAGGGUUGUGAGAGAUCAGUGGCUUGGCAGUUUGUUGUAGACUGAAAGUGGAGGGGUGACAUUUUUAACCUGCACAUGGAGGGCACUAUUUUUAUUUCAUUUGUGUCUCUUCCUACAAAGGAGUUUCUGAAAUUCUCUCUGAUUUCCUCUUUGCCCAGUGGAUGUUCUCUGUCUUCAGCCACCGAGUGUGGCCAAGCUCCUUUUGGAGAUUCAGAAACAAGAGGAGAAGAAGGAAAGUUGGUUCUUAGGUGGAGAGUGGAUUUAACAUUCCCUAAAACCAAGUCGAGGCUUUCCCAUGAGUGUGUGGCAGUUUUGGCUGUGGUGUGACCAGCUGUAGCCUCUUAUCCCGAAAUUUAACUCAAAUGGAUAAAACACUGGCAAAGCAGGACUGGGUUGAUUCCUGUGUUGUUCUGCCUUCCCCUUUCUGCUCUGUGAACAUCAACAUUUUCUUUGUGUUGCAUAUACAAUCAACUUUUCUGAGAAAUUAAAAAUUCUAUACAAAGGAAAGACCUUUCCCCCUGGCCCCAUCAGUUUAAAAUCUGAUUUUACAUUACAAGGAGAAUCACUGGCAGGGGAAGUGCAAGAUCUGAAUUUCUUCUCUGAUAUAACCUUUGUAGUUCAAAAGGGGUGUAUCAGUCCCUGUCUCCUUCACAUAUAUUUGAGCACUAAAAUGUAGAAAUACAAUUU